rnacentral:rRNA from 1 species
GACAGAGGUGCCGAGCGUUAGGCGGAAUCACUGGGCUUAAAGCGUGUGUAGGUGGAUGCCUAAGUACCUUGUGAAAUCCCACGGCUUAACCGUGGAACUGCUUGGUAUACUGGGUGUCUUGAGCCAGCUAGGGGCUACCGGAACAAAUGGUGGAGCGGUGAAAUGCGUUGAUAUCAGGAGGAACACCCAUGGCGAAGGCAGCUAACUGGGCAUUAUCUGACGCUGAGGCGCGAAAGCGUGGGUAGCAAACAGG